ensembl:rRNA 5S_rRNA 5S ribosomal RNA
UAUUAUUAUUACCACCCUGAGCACACCUGAUCUUGUUUGAUCUCAGAAGCUAAGCAGGGUUGGGCUUUGUUAGUACUUGCAUGGGAGACUUCCUGGGAAUACCAGGUGCUAUAAGCU